rnacentral:rRNA from 1 species
ACGAACGCUGGCGGCGUGCUUAACACAUGCAAGUCGCACGGAAAGGCCCUGCUUUUGUGGGGUGCUCGAGUGGCGAACGGGUGAGUAACACGUGAGUAACCUGCCCUUGACUUUGGGAUAACUUCAGGAAACUGGGGCUAAUACCGGAUAGGAGCUCCUGCUGCAUGGUGGGGGUUGGAAAGUUUCGGCGGUUGGGGAUGGACUCGCGGCUUAUCAGCUUGUUGGUGGGGUAGUGGCUUACCAAGGCUUUGACGGGUAGCCGGCCUGAGAGGGUGACCGGCCACAUUGGGACUGAGAUACAGCCCAGACUCCUACGGGAGGCAGCAGUGGGGAAUAUUGCACAAUGGGCGGAAGCCUGAUGCAGCAACGCCGCGUGCGGGAUGACGGCCUUCGGGUUGUAAACCGCUUUCGCCUGUGACGAAGCGUGAGUGACGGUAAUGGGUAAAGAAGCACCGGCUAACUACGUG